CUUGGUCAGAAGCCCAAAGCCUUUUUCAUUUCAGGCAUGACUUUGCAAGUGGUUUUUGGCAUGAAUGUAUGAAUAAAUCACAGCACAUCAG
rnacentral:lncRNA from 11 species